rnacentral:lncRNA from 1 species
CAUUCAUAAAAAAACUGCAACUCUCAUGUUUCAAGGAGCCAAACAAUUUUAAAUUUAAUCAAAAUUGUAUAAAAAUAUCAUCUACAAUAUAAAAUAAAUUUCAUUAAAUCCACCCUAAAAACGUAUCUUCAUAAUGUUUUCCUUGUAUUGUCGGUGUUAUCACUUUCGAUAAAAAAGAAUAUGCUUUUCUUGACAGAAAUGGAAAUAUCUUUUUCAUUUCUCAGCAACAGGAUCGGUUGCUAAAAAAAUCAUAUAAAAAUCAAAUAAAAAGGUUCUAGCAAAGCUGCUGUACUGGCGGGAUUGGCUAGGCUCUUUUUGCACUCUGGCCUUGUUUAGUUCCCAACAAAUUUUGUAAAAUUUUUCAGAUUCUCUAUCACAUCGAAUCUUUAGACGCAUGCAUAGAGUAUUAAAUAUAGACAAAAAUAAAAACUAAUUGUACAGUUUGGUUGGAAUUGACGAGACGAAUCUUUUAAGCCUAGUUAGUCCAUAAUUGGACAAUAUUUGUCAAAUACAAACGAAAGUGCUACAGUGUCCAUUUUCCAAAAAAUUUUGAAACUAAACAAGGCCUAAAUCCAAACAAGAGUGAGUGGUUCGAUUCCACUCUCAAAACAAGACCGAAUGAAAGAAAAUGCAAGUGAAACGGGACCAAAAUUUUAGGUUGGGAACAUGUAUUUGAACCACCUAAUAAACCAGAUCUUUAAAAGACAUACCACUAUUUCGAUACACUCAGUUAAAUUUAAGGAGUUUGAUUUAGGAGAAAACUCAAAAGAAUAAUACUUUAAAUCGGACGGAGUAUCAUGGCCUAUUUGGUAGAGCUCUUCUAACUUAUUCUCUAAUGGAGUGAUUUUGGUUAGGGGAGCAUACUGGAUGAGAGCAGAUAAAGUAAUCCGAACAUCUGAUCCACUGCGUUCUGUUAAUCAAUCUUUGGAGCUCAAGAGUAUUAUAGUCAUUAGUCAAAUCAUUUGCUUUCUCCAAUGGCCCUAUGCCAAUGAAUUCUAAAUGGACAGAUUUACAAAAGUUUGAUCCCUUCAUUUUUAAUUAUAAAACAUUUUGGCAUUUCUACAUAUAUAGUUUUGUUGUGUACUUAGAUAUAUACUAUAUCUACAUACAAUAUAUCUAAAAAAACAAAAUGUUUCAUAAUUUGGGACAUAGGGAGGUAGCAAGGUAAAUAAAAAAAUAAACAUGGCAUUCUCAAGGAAAAUAUACAAAACCAUAUCGGCACUAUCUUUUGCCUGAGUAAUGACAAACUCUACAAGCAAUAGAAUUCAGGAAGUAUCAGCAACAUUGUACCGGAGGGUUCAAAAUUUUGGCGAAAUUUCAUGAAUUUUGGAAAUUUCAGUGGUGGAAAAGAAAAAAUCAAAAUUUUAUAGUAAUAUACUAAUACAUGUGCUAUAUAACUCUAGACAGACUCAUAUUUUUCUAUUAUUUAUGUUGCAUAUUCUUCUACACAAUCUAUGUGUACCCAUAAAUCAAUGCUAAUAUUUUCUUAGAUCUAAUUUUUUAGAAAAAUAUAUUUCAUAUGCAAGUCUCUAAAAAAAACAUCGGUGAAAUUCUGGUUGAAUUUCGCGGUAAUUUUAGAAGUGGUACCGAAAUAAAAAACCCAUCAACCUGUUCGGAUGACAAGUUGAAGUCGAAUUCACGUGUUCUCAAACUUGACUAAUCUAUACCUAUCUAUAAAGAGCCAAAAUUUCAGUCUGCCAAAUAUUUUCUUCUGCCUCCUGUCCAUGUUCUGUCCGUGUUCGUGUUCGGUUUACGGAUCGCCUCCUCUGUCCAACGUUUUUAAAAGGGCAAAAAAAAAAUAAAAAACAUUCUAGGGUUCCUAAUGCAAAAUCUCAUAUUCCAGUCGCUCGCCUCUACCGUCGACCGCAAUCCCAACCGGAAUCGGUACUGAUGGAAAGAAAAAAGAAUAAAAAUUUUUCUAGAGUUUCUAAUAUAAAAUCUCCAAUUUACUUUUCUUUUAUUUUUUAAAUUGGCUGAAAAUUAAUAAAUGCAUAGUAAUUCAUAGAAAAAUCUAAAAAUUAUAAAACAAAUUUUGUUCAACUCCACAUAUAUAGAUCCAUGCAGUAAACAAAAAAUAUCACAAAUUUUAGUACACUUUUUUUUUGGAAAUGCUUGCCUAUGCUUUUUACUGUAAAAUUAAAAUUGUAGUUAUCUUGCUCCAAUUAUUAUAAAAAUUUAAUGGUACCCUAUUUAAUGUGAUGCUUGAUUCAUAUUUCAUAGCAAUCCUAAUCUAAAUUAAAAAAAUAAUGCUAACAUCAAACUUCUCAUGUUUUAAUAUAAUACUGAGGCAUAUUAAGAGGUAAUAUUAGAGUGAGAUAAGAUUUAACUAUUUUCUAUUUUUAUUAUUAAAUAAAUAUGUCUUUAAGCUACAUAUUAUUGUAAAUAUUAACUAUCUAGUACCAUAGAUGUUAUGGUUAUCAAUAAAAUAAAUUAUGGACUUUAAAUUUUAUAAAAAGGAUAAAUAUAAAUAGAUAUGUAACAUUAUGUCAUCACUUUCUAGGGUUAUUCGAUGUUUUUCUUCCGUUGCAAUAUUACCAAAUUGAGGAAAAGCAAUUUUUUUUAAAAAAAAUUGUGACCCCCGGCCCCCACUCCUCCCAUGGCUCCGCUCCCCGUCCCCGUCCACCCGCC